AUCCCUUGGCCAGGUCGGGGUAAUGACGUGGCAACCUCCCUGUUGGACUGGCCCGGGCUUUCGCGUCCGGGCCCUUUU
rnacentral:ncRNA from 1 species